rnacentral:rRNA from 1 species
AAUCAACGCUGGCGGCGUGCCUCAGACAUGCAAGUCGAACGAUUAAAGCUCUCUUCGGAGAGUGCAUAGAGUGGCGCACGGGUGAGUAACACGUAAGUAAUCUACCUUCGAGUGGGGAAUAACGUCCGGAAACGGACGCUAAUACCGCAUAAUGCAGCGGCAUCGUAAGAUGACAGUUGUUAAAGAUUUAUCGCUUGAAGAGGAGCUUGCGGCAGAUUAGCUAGUUGGUAAGGUAAUGGCUUACCAAGGCUACGAUCUGUAACCGGUCUUAGAGGACGGUCGGUCACACUGACACUGAAUAACGGGUCAGACUCCUACGGGAGGCAGCAGUCGGGAAUUUUGGGCAAUGGGCGAAAGCCUGACCCAGCAACGCCGCGUGAAGGAUGAAGUAUUUCGGUAUGUAAACUUCGAAAGAAUAGGAAGAAUAAAUGACGGUACUAUUUAUAAGGUCCGGCUAACUACGUGCCAGCAGCCGCGGUAAU